rnacentral:rRNA from 1 species
GAUGAACGCUGGCGGCGUGCCUAAUACAUGCAAGUCGAGCGAACAGAUAAGGAGCUUGCUCCUUUGACGUUAGCGGCGGACGGGUGAGUAACACGUGGGUAACCUACCUAUAAGACUGGAAUAACUCCGGGAAACCGGGGCUAAUGCCGGAUAACAUUUAGAACCGCAUGGUUCUAAAGUGAAAGAUGGUUUUGCUAUCACUUAUAGAUGGACCCGCGCCGUAUUAGCUAGUUGGUAAGGUAACGGCUUACCAAGGCAACGAUACGUAGCCGACCUGAGAGGGGGAUCGGCCAAACUGGACCUGAGACACGGUCCAGACUCCUAGGGGAGGCAGCAGUAGGGAAUCUUCCGCAAGGGGCGAAAGCCUGACGGAGCAACGCCGCGUGGGUGAUGAAGGUCUUCGGACCGUAAAACGCUGUUAUUAGGGAAGAACAAAUGGGUAAGUAACCGUGCACGUCUUGACGGUACCUAAUCAGAAAGCCACGCCUAACUCCUU